GAUGAACGCUGGCGGCGUGCCUAAUACAUGCAAGUCGAGCGAACAGACGAGGAGCUUGCUCCUCUGAUGUUAGCGGCGGACGGGUGAGUAACACGUGGAUAACCUACCUAUAAGACUGGGAUAACUUCGGGAAACCGUAGCUAAUACUGGAUAAUAUUUUGAACCGCAUGGUUCAAUAGUGAAAGACGGUCUUGCUGUCACUUAUAGAUGGAUCCGCGCCGCAUUAGCUAGUUGGUAAGGUAACGGCUUACCAAGGCAACGAUGCGUAGCCGACCUGAGAGGGUGAUCGGCCACACUGGAACUGAGACACGGUCCAGACUCCUACGGGAGGCAGCAGUAGGGAAUCUUCCGCAAUGGGCGAAAGCCUGACGGAGCAACGCCGCGUGAGUGAUGAAGGUCUUCGGAUCGUAAAACUCUGUUAUUAGGGAAGAACAAAUGUGUAAGUAACUAUGCACGUCUUGACGGUACCUAAUCAGAAAGCCACGGCUAACUACGUG
rnacentral:rRNA from 1 species